rnacentral:rRNA from 1 species
CGUAAAGCGCAUGCAGGCGGCCUGUUAAGUCAGAUGUGAAAGACCCGGGGCGUUAACCUCGGAAUUGCAUUUGAAACUAGGCAGGCUAGAGUCUUGUAGAGGGGGGUAGGAAGUUUCAGGUGUAGCGGUGAAAUAGCGUAGAGAUCUGAAGGAAUACCAGUGGCGAAGGCGGCCCCCUCGGACAAAGACUGACGCUCAGAUGCGAAAGCGUGGGGAGCAAACAGGAUUAGAUACCCUGGGAG